rnacentral:lncRNA from 10 species
CCGCCCCGCCCCGCCUGCCCCUCCGCGCGGCUCCCGGGCGACCGGCGCUCCCGCCUCCCGCCUUUCCCGCUGCUUGCCGGGUCCCGGCCCGGCGACGCGCGCUCACACCCUCCUCCCGAGCCGCCCUCACGCCGAGCGCUGCGGACGGGGGCGCGCAACCUGCCGCCGGCCGGGACCCUGCGGCGAGUGCCGGAACCCGGCCGGGCGGGGCCUCCCGCGGCCCGGCCGCUUUAUUGGGUCACCGGCCUCGCCCACCGCCCUGCCAGCCGCAGCCAUCUCGGCGGGCGCGCCGCUCGCAGCCAGCGCCCCAUCCCCAGGCCUGCACCUGACACACUCAGAAUGACAAAGGAGUUAGAAAUUCACAUCAACAGCAAUUGGUCCCAACUGACUCAAACCAUGAGACUUCUGCCCUGCUAAGAUACCUU